UGACGUAUGUAGAGUUUGAUCCUGGCUCAGGAUUAACGCUGGCGGAGUGCCUAAUACAUGCAAGUCGAGCGGCAGCACGAGUAGUUUACUACUUGGUGGCGAGCGGCGGACGGCUGAGUAACGCGUGGGAACGUGCCCCAAAGUGAGGAAUAACUGCCCGAAAGGGUAGCUAAUGCCGCAUAUGAUCUUCGGAUUAAAGUAUUUAUUACGCUUUGGGAGCGGCCCGCGUCCGAUUAGGUAGUUGGUGAGGUAAAGGCUCACCAAGCCCACGAUCGGUAGCUGGUUUGAGAGGAUGACCAGCCAGACUGGAACUGAGACACGGUCCAGACUCCUACGGGAGGCAGCAGUAAGGAAUCUUCCACAAUGGACGAAAGUCUGAUGGAGCAACUCCGCGUGCAGGAUGAAGGCCUUAGGGUUGUAAACUGCUUUUAUGAGUGAAGAAUAUGACGGUAACUCAUGAAUAAGGGUCGGCUAACUACGUGCCA
rnacentral:rRNA from 1 species